rnacentral:rRNA from 1 species
AUUGAACGCUGGCGGAAUGCUUUACACAUGCAAGUCGAGCGGCAGCACGGGGGCAACCCUGGUGGCGAGCGGCGAACGGGUGAGUAAUACAUCGGAACAUGCCCAGUCGUGGGGGAUAACACUUCGAAAGAAGUGCUAAUACCGCAUACGUCCUGAGGGGGAAAGCGGGGGAUCGCAAGACCUCGCGCGAUUGGAGUGGCCGAUGUCAGAUUAGCUAGUUGGUGGGGUAAAGGCCUACCAAGGCAACGAUCUGUAGCUGGUCUGAGAGGAUGAUCAGCCACACUGGGACUGAGACACGGCCCAGACUCCUACGGGAGGCAGCAGUGGGGAAUUUUGGACAAUGGGGGCAACCCUGGUCCAGCCAUUCCGCGUGAGUGAAGAAGGCCUUCGGGUUGUAAAGCUCUUUCGGCAGGAACGAAACGGUGAGCUCUAACAUAGCUUGCUAAUGACGGUACCUGAAGAAGAAGCACCGGCUAACUACGUG